AACGGGUGAGUAAUGCAUCGGAACGUGCCCAGUCGUGGGGGAUAACGCAGCGAAAGCUGCGCUAAUACCGCAUACGAUCUAUGGAUGAAAGCGGGGGACCGUAAGGCCUCGCGCGAUUGGAGCGGCCGAUGUCAGAUUAGGUAGUUGGUGGGGUAAAGGCUCACCAAGCCAACGAUCUGUAGCUGGUCUGAGAGGACGACCAGCCACACUGGAACUGAGACACGGUCCAGACUCCUACGGGAGGCAGCAGUGGGGAAUUUUGGACAAUGGGCGCAAGCCUGAUCCAGCAAUGCCGCGUGCAGGAAGAAGGCCUUCGGGUUGUAAACUGCUUUUGUACGGAACGAAACGGUCUGGGAUAAUACCCUGGGCUAAUGACGGUACCGUAAGAAUAAGCACCGGCUAACUACGUGCCAGCAGCCGCGGUAAUACGUAGGGUGCAAGCGUUAAUCGGAAUUACUGGGCGUAAAGCGUGCGCAGGCGGUUUUGUAAGACAGGCGUGAAAUCCCCGGGCUCAACCUGGGAAUGGCGUUUGUGACUGCAAAGCUGGAGUGCGGCAGAGGGGGAUGGAAUUCCGCGUGUAGCAGUGAAAUGCGUAGAUAUGCGGAGGAACACCGAUGGCGAAGGCAAUCCCCUGGGCCUGCACUGACGCUCAUGCACGAAAGCGUGGGGAGCAAACAGGAUUAGAUACCCUGGUAGUCCACGCCCUAAACGAUGUCAACUGGGUUGUUGGGUCUCUUCUGACUCAGUAACGAAGCUAACGCGUGAAGUUGACCGCCUGGGGGAGUACGGCCGCAAGGUUGAAACUCAAAGGAAUUGACGGGGACCGCACAAGCGGUGGAAGGAAGGGGGGUUUAAAUUCGAUGCAACGCGAAAAACCUUACCCACCUUUGAAUUGGUAUGGGAAGUUUCCAGAGAAUGGAUUCGUGCUCGAAAGAGAGCCAUAACACAGGUGCUGGCAUGGCUGUCGUCAGCUCGUGUCGUGAGAAAGUUUGGGGUUAAGUCCCCGCAACGAAGCGCAACCCUUGUCAUUAGUUGCUACAUUCAGUUGGGCACUCUAAUGAGACUGCCGGUGACAAGCCGGAGGAAGGUGGGGAUGACGUCAAGUCCUCAUGGCCCUUAUAGGUGGGGCUACACACGUCAUACAAUGGCCGGUACAAAGGGUCGCAAACCCGCGAGGGGGAGCUAAUCCAUCAAAGCCGGUCGUAGUCCGGAUCGCAGUCUGCAACUCGACUGCGUGAAGUCGGAAUCGCUAGUAAUCGUGGAUCAGCAUGUCACGGUGAAUACGUUCCCGGGUCUUGUACACACCGCCCGUCACACCAUGGGAGCGGGUCUCGCCAGAAGUAGUUAGCCUAACC
rnacentral:rRNA from 1 species